rnacentral:rRNA from 1 species
AACGAACGCUGGCGGCAGGCCUAAUACAUGCAAGUCGAACGCCGUAGCAAUACGGAGUGGCAGACGGGUGAGUAACGCGUGGGAACCUUCCUAAUGGUACGGAAUAGCCCGGGGAAACCCGGAGUAAUACCGUAUAAGCCCGUGAGGGGAAAGAUUUAUCGCCAUUAGAUGGGCCCGCGUCGGAUUAGCUAGUUGGUAGGGUAACGGCCUACCAAGGCUACGAUCCGUAGCUGGUCUGAGAGGAUGAUCAGCCACACUGGGACUGAGACACGGCCCAGACUCCUACGGGAGGCAGCAGUAGGGAAUAUUGGACAAUGGGCGAAAGCCUGAUCCAGCCAUGCCGCGUGAGUGAUGAAGGCCUUC